UCCAUUCUCAUUUCAACCUCUGGGCUUUGCAUGUCAGAGCAUGCGACCCUGAGGAACCAGUGUCUGAGCAAAGACAAGGUUAUUACUGCCACAUGAAAAUGAUGUAACCUGGACAUCAGGCUCUGGGGAACAGAAGGCAAGUCAGAUGGGUCAAUAGAUGGUGACAAAACACGGAGGUCAAUAGGUUGAAGAUCCUGAUAAACUGGAGAGCUAUGAGCCUGGGCAUGUAAGAAGCUUGGAAAUCAUCACUCAUGUAUUUACAAGAAGAAAAAAACUGAACAAACUGAAAAUCAUUGGCUCUCCAUCAACACUCAGAGGACUGAAGCUGCAUGGCAAUUUGACACCCUGAAAUCUGGAGAGACAGAUGGAUACAGAGAGUCACAGCCAAGAUCUCACCAGGAGCAGAUGCCUCUGGAGCCACAAACUGGUUUUAUUUCAUCCUUGAAAGUUUCUAUGAAAAUCAUCUUCCUAGAAAUAGAAGAGCUGACAAUAACAAGCCCUAAACCUAAGCUAAGAAACCUGAAUCCUAGUUCUGCCUGUGUCAUUAACUAUGGACCUUGGUUCUCCAAGGAUACAAAGAUGAAUGGAUGAGGGUGGCUCUGUUAAGUUGGAAUACAUUUAAGAAGAUGAGGCAUCUCCCUCAUGGUAAAGGAAUUCAAGGAAUGUGUGAAAUAUUUCCUUCUUUUUAAGAAUACACAGUUAUUUGGGGCUGAGAUAUACCACGGAACUUGAGUAAGACCCAUGUAUUCGUACCAAAUGUAUGCCAAAGGAUAAAAAU
rnacentral:lncRNA from 10 species